rnacentral:rRNA from 1 species
GACGAACGCUGGCGGCGUGCUUAACACAUGCAAGUCGAGCGGUAAGGCCCUUUCGGGGGUACGACGAGCGGCGAACGGGUGAGUAACACGUGGGUGACCUGCCCUCAGCUCUGGGAUAAGCCUGGGGAAACUGGGUCUAAUACCGGAUAUGACUCCAUGACGCAUGUUGUGGGGGUGGAAAGCCUUGUGCGGCUGAGGAUGGGGCCCGCGGCCUAUCAGCUUGUUGGGGGGGUGA